GAGAAAAUGAUUGAUAAAGACGGGGAGAGAGAGAGAGAGAGAGAUCAAAUAGAUCGAGAUUGUGUUCUUGAUUCAAGGCCAAGGAAUUAUAGAUCCUCACUCCAAUCUGUACUUAGAUCUGUAGUUGCGAUCAUUUGAGGCCAAUACCUUCUGUUUAGUUGAUUCCCCAAGUCAAAAGUGCUAUAGAAUAUAUGCAGGUCUUCCAGAUACUUCUUCUCAUCCUCGUCCUUUGCAAGAACAACAAUUUUGAGAGGAUGGAGAGUGGGACAACGUACAUGUGGGCGACACCAGCAGUAAGAGUCCGAAGCAAUCAGUCGGUCCUCACCCACAACGACACACACACCAUUAUUAUUCUCACUCUGUUAUGAAAUUAGGCUUAAUUCAUGAUUUGCUAUUAUAACUAGGGGUUGACGAUUUACUUAAUCGUGCAUGCUGUUGACACGUGAGUCAGGCUAAUUACUCAUUAGGUUAAUUAAGCUGCAUUAGAGUUUAUUAAUUGGAAAUAGAUGAAGUGGGACAUGCGCCCUCCUUUGGUGAGCAAAA